AUGUCCAUUAGAAAGAUCAAUGAGCAAUUCAGAAGGCUGGAAUCAGGUCCCUCAUUACAACCUACAUGCAGCGGGUCUCCUUACAGGUUGCAAGAUCGUGCUGGUCUUUCUCUUAAUUCCACUCAGUGCUUGCAACAGAGUCAAAGUGGUGCAUUACAAGCAGUGAAUGUACUUGGUCAACAAUUAUCAGUUGUGGUUAAUAAAGAAAAAGCAUCUAGUCAGACAAAUAUUGAGGGUACCACACAAGUUGAAACCGGAAGAGCUCCACUUCACCCUAUAAAUUUUUCUGUUCCAGUGACCCAAGAGUUGCAACAUGUUCCAGGCAGAGACCUCGGUUUUAAUAACGCUCCAGGAGCCAAUCCUUUUAUUUCUCAUGAUUCACCUCCUGUUACUGUUAGAUCCAGUCCCAAAAGGCUGGGGGAUUCAAUUCUUGGAGCGCCUCCACCCCCAGCUAAAAAACAGCCCCUAUCCUAUGAGUUGCAAGGAGAUGAGCAGCCAGAUGUAUCGACUGUUAUUGCAACUGAGGGCAUCCCCAUGCUUCAGGAUGGACAGGGUUCAGGCUUACUUGGUGCUCCACCUGUUGGAUUACCUCUUAUUGGCCAAGCAUCUUCACUGGGUGCUUUGGGUGCCACAAUAGCUGCGACUUGCAUCAGCGAUGUUGUUCCUACAGGGCAGCCAGUUUCUGAAGGAGCUGCGGUUUCUCUCACUGCCUCCCUUCCAAGACCUAUCGAAGCUGAGAGGAGCCAGAAUAGACAAAAAAGUAGUCGUUGGGACAUUCCUCCUGCGAAGGGAUCUGGGGAUACACGUUCCCAUCUCCAUGAGUCUCUUCGCCCUCGGCCUAUUACUUACCUUCCGAAGCGUCACCAUGGUGCCCAUUAUAUGAGUAAUACUCAUUGCCUGCGCAGAAACAGGGGUAUACCUGUUAAAGACAGGGAUUUCACCUCCUCUGCUUAUAUGACUGCAUCACCUCUGCAGUUUGCUGAAGAGACUGGAGCUAGUUAUGAGCCGUGGCCCAUUAGCACGUCUUCCCCGACAAAUAGUGCGGGCACAGUCUAUUCUCAUCAAGCUGCAUCGGAAACACACAGUGACUCUAAAACCAUUAGCAAAGGAAAUACUCUGGAUCACACACAAGUUCAAGGUGGAGACACUAUGGAAGUUGAUCGUCACUUAGAUCAGACCAUAAACUGUGCUAUGGAUCGGGCAGCGGCGCAUGGCCCUAACGCGCCUCGGGUGCCAUGA
rnacentral:rRNA from 1 species